rnacentral:rRNA from 1 species
CCUACGGGUGGCAGCAGUAGGGAAUCUUUCACAAUGGGCGAAAGCCUGAUGGAGCAACGCCGCGUGCAGGAUGAAGGCCUUCGGGUUGUAAACUGCUUUUAUAAGCGAGAAAUAUGAUGGUAACUUAUGAAUAAGGAUCGGCUAACUACGUGCCAGCAGCCGCGGUAAUACGGAGGAUGCGAGCGUUAUCCGGAUUUAUUGGGUUUAAAGGGUGCGUAGGUGGUUAAUUAAGUCAGCGGUGAAAGUUUGUGGCUCAACCAUAAAAUUGCCGUUGAAACUGGUUGACUUGAGUAUAUUUGAGGUAGGCGGAAUUCGUGGUGUAGCGGUGAAAUGCUUAGAUAUCACGAAGAACUCCGAUUGCGAAGGCAGCUUACUAAACUGCCACUGACAUUGAUGCUCGAAAGUGUGGGUAUCAAACAGGAUUAGAUACCCCAGUAGUC